GAGUUUGAUCUUGGCUCAGAUUGAACGCUGGCGGCAGGCCUAACACAUGCAAGUCGAGCGGAUGACGGGAGCUUGCUCCUUGAUUCAGCGGCGGACGGGUGAGUAAUGCCUAGGAAUCUGCCUGGUAGUGGGGGACAACGUUUCGAAAGGAACGCUAAUACCGCAUACGUCCUACGGGAGAAAGCAGGGGACCUUCGGGCCUUGCGCUAUCAGAUGAGCCUAGGUCGGAUUAGCUAGUUGGUGGGGUAAUGGCUCACCAAGGCGACGAUCCGUAACUGGUCUGAGAGGAUGAUCAGUCACACUGGAACUGAGACACGGUCCAGACUCCUACGGGAGGCAGCAGUGGGGAAUAUUGGACAAUGGGCGAAAGCCUGAUCCAGCCAUGCCGCGUGUGUGAAGAAGGUCUUCGGAUUGUAAAGCACUUUAAGUUGGGAGGAAGGGCAGUAAGUUAAUACCCUGCUGUUUUGACGUUACCGACAGAAUAAGCACCGGCUAACUCUGUGCCAGCCGCCGACGG
rnacentral:rRNA from 1 species